ensembl:lincRNA
AUGUCGCGGGGCGGUCGAGGGCCGCGGGACAGGGCUGUGCCCACUCCUGCACCCGCAAGGCGCCGAGCCGGGACCGCCGGGCGCUGCAGGCGAACCGCGUGCUGGGCCUGGGACCGACCCCGCGCGGCCUCUCCCGUCUCCGCCGCAAGAUGGCCGCCGGCCGCCGCGGGCGCCUCCGAAUUUAGGCAGAAAGUGAACGACGCUCGCGCAGGGAAGGCGGGGGCGGGGUGCGGUCGGGGGACUGGAGACGCCGCGUCGCAACGGAGUUUUUACAUUUUCCAUUCCCAAACCCUUGAAGGCACGGCCCAAAAGAUGCAGCUGGGGUCAGGAGCAGGGCCAUCAGGACUAACUCCACGACUGAUUCUCUUCACCUUACGGAUGGAGAAGAAAUCGAAAACCGUUUGGGCAAAUGCAUUUGCCCCCUCCCCCCGCCAUGGGCGUCCCCAGCUUCUGAUUCAUGAAGGUCACUCUUGCGAAGUCCCACUGACCAAGGGACCAAAGGCCUAACUCACUAGACCCGGAGGCCUGGGUGGAGCUGUUCCUUAGGGUGUCCUAAUUCCGGCCUCAGACUCAGACCCCCGCCCCACACACAACCCUUUGACCCAUGCCAAGCCUUAUCUGAUUAAAGGAUUUUUGUUACUCCGGCUAUUAUGUCACAAACGCCUUAACAUUUACUUCAGUUGGUUGUUGAGAGUAUCUCUGCGUCCUGGAAAAACCAGGAAGAGCUCAUGAAGCUGGCCUCCUCCUCCUCCCCAGGCCUGUAACUGAGGUAAAGUGGGCUCUACUGGUUCUGACCAGAAGGCUUCAGGGUAGAAGACAGACUCCUUGACCUGUGAGUGUGGUGCGUGUGGUUGCCCACCCGGUCCCCAGCUUCCUCCUCAUCGCAGGGAGCCCCUCUCUGGAGUAGGACAAAGGCAGCCCUCAAGAUGGAGCCUGCGUGGGGGAAACUGAGAGAAAGCCCACCAUUCCCUGAUCAACUAUGAUGCUGUCUCUGGGUUUGUGAAGGAAGGACUGAGGUUCCUCUGGCCCAGGACCCUUGAAGAGUCUCCAGUAAGGGAAGGAGUUCUUUGCCCCCAAGUCCUGGACGUGCAGCCCUGCUCCGCCAAAAAACAAAACAAACACACACACACACACACACACACACACAAAAACAACGAAACAGUUUUGAUGUCCACUUCAGUGACUGGGGGAAAUCCUGCCCUCUCUUCGGUUUCCUCAUCUGCCCAAGGGAGGAGGAUUGUAAAGAAGUCUCCUAACAUCUCUAACCCGGGGCUCCAAGAAGCAUGAGGGAAGGCAGCACAGGGAGACUCUUGAAGACUUCGAAGGGCACUGGGGGCACUUGGUUUCACUCUGAGAAAGGUGCACAUCUCUUUCUGAAACGUGGUCCUUUGAUAAGCGGGUGGGUAGGAGAGUUAGGCAUACUGACCGUGGAACCAGGCUCGCUGGGCUCAAAUCGGACCCAGACCUGCCAUUUACUACCCACGUGGCCUCAGGCUUCUUUACUCAGUCUCUCUGUGCCUCAAUUUCAUCAUUGAAACAGAUUAAUAACGGCCCCUUUUCUUCCAGGGCGCUGGCGGAAUUAACUGGGCUCAGGCGCGUAAAGCACUUAGAAGCAUGCCUGGCACAGGUGGCUUUUCCUAUGGGGUGGCCAGACCCCUGGAUGCAAGUCUUCUCAGUUUUCCUCCGCUGACUGUCACCAUUUCUGUCCCUGCCCCAGUGCCAGCACCCCAGGAAUGGGAUGGAGGAAGGCAGGCAGGACGCCUGUAUAUUGCCUGCUUGAUGAACACUUUGUGGAAUCUCUUUGUGCCAGCGCUUUGCUUAUUUUCUGAUAUGGAAGGAAGCGGAAUCAGUGUCUCUCCCUUUCUCUUUCCUCAAUUCCAUCCAGAGAUGAGACAGCUGCAUGAAAACCAUCCCCACCAAGAGGGAUCCUGCUUUGAGGGAGAUAGAGUACUGCCCAGAACUAUUAAUGUUUUUCCUCUACACAACACACACACCUCUAAGUGCUUAGGCUCCAAGAGACAAGAGUGCAAGGGUCUGUAUUUAAUUGAUCACCUUCAAAGACAUUGAGGCAUCCAUGUGACCUCCUGGGGGAUCGGUGAUCUGCCUCCUGAAAAGAGCUGACGUCUUUUCACAGUCCAGGUCCCUCCUUGGCUGUUGUUUAAAGCACGAGGAGACCAACUGGUGUCAGUUUUUUCUUUUCUGAGGGAGGAGGACCUUGUUUUUUGAAAAUGCAAAGUGACAGUAACAUUGUCAUUAAAGGUGUUUGCUGUUAAAAUAAUAAUAGCUCUCAUUUGUGGAUACACUGACAGCAUCUCAGGCACGGGCUGAUUACAGUACCUUCCUUUUUCUUCACAAAGAGCUCCUGAGAUCCAUUUGCAAGCCCAUUUU